CGCCGGGCAUCCUCCCGACAGACCUUUUCCCACAGCUACACCGCCAAGACAGAUUGCCCCGUCGGGUGUCAAAGUAGACGCCCCGGAAAGGCGGGAACUUUCGCGCUUCGCGCACAAGCUGGACUCUCGUCUCUUCUCCGGGGUCGUUGACGGGGCCGUUGACUUCUUCUGCGUCUUCCUCGUCCUCUUCCUCGGAGUCCCAUCGUUGCCGCUUCGCACCACGGAGAUGCGCAUCCGCAGCGCCACUGUCAUCGCUUUCCCCCACUGCAUCCGCUUCGCCGGAAUCGGAAAAGAAAGAGCCCUCCACAGGCGACGAUCGUUGUCGCCGGCGACUCGCGCUGGAAAUGCUGGUUACCGUUUCCGAAGACUCGAGGCCCACAGCCCUUUUCGGCUUCACCGCCUCCUCGUGUCUGCCGGCACGUGACAUCCACGAAGCUGCGCCGACGCCACUCGCCGAAUGGCAUUCCGCAGCGCGGGAGCUCGACCGAAGAUGCGGCGUUCUCUCGGGGCGCCACCACGGGUGGUCUUCCUCUUGAAGCUGUUGAAGAGCGAGUUGCUGCGCGAACCGACUGCGCAGGAUCGAGCUCAGAUGGUCAGCGUGAGAGGGACUCGUGCCGUUCGGCGCCUUCAACGAGGCUUCGUUAGCGGCCAGCGAAUCCCUCGGGCUCCGACCAUGGUCCAUUCCACCGACACUAACGGGUCGCCGGAGGAUACAAUCCGUUUGAGGGAAACGAUCAGGCCCUCGCCAUCCGCGGACGCUGUCGCCGAGGCCAACCAGGACUGCCUCCGAACCGGCGCUGGCGAGAGCGCGAAGCGAGGACGGAUUACUCGGACGGCGACCGUUUCCGGCAUCUCGGUCACCACUGUCCCCAGCAAACGACGCGUCGUCCCCCUGCCUCUCGUGCAACGAAAGAACAUUCACGGGCAUUUCGCGGCUCGACUCGUUACACCUGCUGCCGACCGACUCAGGGGCUGUUUUUUGGCUGUGCCGCGCAAAGUAUCCGGUGUCGCCGCCAAUGAUCGAAUCGCCGAAAAUUCCGUCAACAGAUUUCUCAGCGGCGGCAGAGAAGCGUUCCUUGUCUUUUGGAUCAUCCGAUUCUCCAGACACGGAUACAACUCUUUGCAGGAGGUCCUCCGGUUCAAAUCCAACACUCGAAAACGAGCGGAAGUCGCGGUUGAGCACAUCACUCUGGUGCCACACCGUGCUUCUUGAGGAAAGACGGGAAAUCGGUGAAAUGUCUUUUAUGCCUGGACCUCCUCGUUUGUCGCUGAGACGGAGUUUCUCUUCAGGACACUUCAACGACGUUGUCAUCUCUCUGACGCUGUCGGAACACUCGUGAUGCUCCGGAAGCAUACUCGAGCCGAGCGGGGCUGCAGCCAAUGGGGACAAGCGAUCUGCCACCGCCUUCAGUAUGUCUGCUGCAUGAACUGUACUGCUUCCCUCCGAGUCCGGAGAGCAAGACACAUGCUCACAUACCGUCUGUUUGGUUGACAUUGAAGCUUCCUGCGCCUCCUCUGAUCCGCCUGAGCCUGCAGCAGUCGGGCGCGGAGGCAUCCUUCUUCCGCUCCUCUUGACUUCGGCCCGCCGCGCGCCCGGGCCGAGUUUGCUGUCAGUUUUCGUCGCACCGUGCUCUCCUUGGAACAGUUCCUUAGUGAAACGCGAACUAACCAGGUCAGAAGGUUCGCGAGUUGAGCUCUUGUGUCCAUGUGCACGUUCCGCUUCGCGGCCGUUCCGUUGCGGGGGUGUAGUAGACGGGGUAGGCGAUGAGACAGUCGUGCACAGAGAGCCGCCGAAUCCGCUCCGGCCAGUGCUUUUCGGUUGAAUAACCCUCAAUCGAGAGUCAUCCGCCAUGGGACGUCAGAAGGAAACCACGUUUUUGUAUUUUUUUCUCCCAGAGGGGUGAUAUCGAUGCCAGCUGGUGCCAACAUAUACUGGUGAUGCCUAGACGGGAAGAGCCUCUGCGGCGGCGCGAACUUUCUGGUGUGCCGCAGCACUGGAUGACCGGGCUGUUCGCUUCAUCUCCAGACGGGAGAAGAACGAACCCUCCCGGGGGUACAAAAGCUGAACGUUCGGGAUUCACCCUGCUGUGAGGGAAAGAAUCCCUUUCUUUUUCCUGUUUUACAGAAGCAAACAAAACAGAUGCAGACGCCAGAAAACGUACCCGACUCAGGGGUUCCAGCCUUGUGAUCGGCCAAACCUCCUCUCCAGAGCCGGGGCCCGCUGCAACUCCGCCGCCAGGGAAGCAAGUUGAACAGGUUCGCCACUCCAAUCGGACGGUGGCGCCGAAAUCGAGGCGGCUGGGGAGUUGAGACAGGUGAGACAGGAGCUUUCAGGUUCCACUUCCACAGGAAGGGAACGUGAAACCAGACCACCGGAAUAACUAUGGAAAGCAGCUGAAGCAUAGCUCUGCCGCGGUAUUCUCUCGAGAAAGGAAGCCUAGAAACCCUCCUGGCAGCGUCGCGGAUGCGGCGCGCAGAGUCUCUCUCCGCACCGCCAGGGUUCUCUGCCUACGGACCACGGUGAAUCCGCACUGCUGGGAGUGGAGAGAGAGGGGGGGGGGGGGUCCGGCGCCCGAUUCGUUUGCGGAACUCGGAGAAGCGCAAGGCCGCAGAUUCGUUACUCAACAGUCCCUGAAUAUCGCACUGACGGCGCCAGCACAAGGCCCAGGAAGACACGUCAACGGCAGCUACUACUUUUGUAUACUGAAUGAAAAUGCAAAUCUCGCUUCGGAAAGAAAUGCAACAUGUGCUGUCUUUGACAAUUACCGUGGAGAACGACGCGCGCGCCGCCCCACUCGGAUCGACCAAUAGACAACGUGCGCGGCGACACGCGGCCUCGGACACGUCUCGCGCACGGACCCCACAGGACGGUGUAGGCGUCUCUGGGCGGAAUUGUCCUCACGCUUCUGAGGAGAAAGCUUUCACCCGUGUGUUUCAAGCAGCCACACACGUAAAUUGGACGGUGAAAAACUAGGAAGGGAUCGCAAGAAAGACGCUUGAUGUCCAAGUGCUGGUCUCUGUGUGCAGCAGGAUAUGUCUCAGUGAACGGCUGGGCCGCCGCUCGACUGCGAAACGGCUACCCCGCAUGCGGUUGAACACAGCGCACCCACCGCUGCUGGUGAGCUAAAAAGUGCGUCCCGCGAAUCCCGCGAGUGGCGCUUAAAACACCAUAAGGCAGGGACUGAGUCUGAAGCCCUCUUGAAACGAAUUCGACGUCCAAGGGAACGAGUGUCAAUCUUUUAAAGACACACAAGCCAGUUACAGGAGAAAAGAGUGAAUGGCCUGAUGCCCAGAAGGCCAAUACCAAAAUUUCCACUCGGGUCCGCGCGGCUUCUACCAAUACGGGCCAUGCACGCACGGAUUCGGUGUGGACACAGCUCCGAGUCCGCGGAGGAGCGCACGAACUCCGUUGAUGUGCAGAGGCGCACUUUCCUCCUUUGCUCUUAGGUUAAGCCAGAAGCAGCCAAAGUAUUGAUUUUGCCUUUGGGUGACAGGUCAACCCUCCCAUAAGAAGGCAGAUUUGCGGAAACCCGAGAUGCAGCAGCCGUAGUCUGCACGAGAGAACGAUGAGCGCUGCACACAGCAAGGGGGUGAGAGAGGCGAUGCCCGAGUUUCGACAGUGCGUCUCGCGUAACAAACCAAAGGAACAGCGGAAUGUUCACAAGAUUUGUCUACAGAUACAUGCAACACACCUUCGAAAUCAACUUUCGCGUGUCACUGAGUGUAAACAUCACCUCGCUCCCGGUUGCAACGACCUCCGCCGAACCACUCGGGUUGUGGAUGGUUACCCCUUAAAAGUGCUUUCGACUGAAAAAACGUCUUUGGGCAAGAUGUUCCUUCACUGUUAAUCCUAGCACCAGCUUCGGAAGCCUGACACCCUCCGUGCUAAGCGUGAAAUUGGUGGUGGACGACACACUCGAAACUGUUCCAUGCGUACCGAUACAAU
rnacentral:lncRNA from 1 species